rnacentral:rRNA from 1 species
UAGGGAAUAUUGGACAAUGGGGGGAACCCUGAUCCAGCAAUGCCGCGUGGGUGAAGAAGGCCUGCGGGUUGUAAAGACCUUUCGGUAGUGAAGAAAGGCCCUGUGUGAAUAGCGCGGGGUGUUGACGUUAGCUACAGAAGAAGCACCGGCAAACUCUGUGCCAGCAGCCGCGGUAAUACAGAGGGUGCGAGCGUUAAUCGGAAUCACUGGGCGUAAAGGGUGCGUAGGCGGUUGCUUAAGUCGGUUGUGAAAGCCCUGGGCUUAACCUGGGAACCGCAUUCGAUACUGGGUAACUAGAGUCUGAUAGAGGGUAGUGGAAUUCCGGGUGUAGCGGUGAAAUGCGUAGAUAUCCGGAGGAACACCAGUGGCGAAGGCGGCUACCUGGAUCAAGACUGACGCUGAGGCACGAAAGCGUGGGGAGCAAACA